GCUGUGAUCUGAAGUCCCAGCCUCCUAAACUCCGCACUGGGACCUUAAUUUGGUUUUAACACAAAUGAAGAUCUCACUAAAGAUAAAAAGGGAUGUCUUGGCUUCUAAUUUUUGUUAAAAGCAAUAGCAUAUGUUGUAUAGGAUAGUGCAUUGGGAUUAGGCCUCAUGUUAUAUAGGAGAGAUGUGAGGGCUGUGUCUCCAGAGUUGCAGUAGUGGAUGGGAUAGUGGUCCCUCCCCAUCAGCACUGUGGGACGUUUAAAGUAUUGCUGUGUGUUUCAAGUGGAGGAGGUCAUAUUACAACUGACAUUUGUCCUUGACUACUGGACAUAUCACACCAGCCCUGAUUGCAGUUAUACUUGAAGCCAGAUCUACCCUUAACGUAUAUUCAUUUUACUAUUCAAUAAAU
rnacentral:lncRNA from 1 species